UCCACAGCCCUCGUCACUCCACACCUAUGAUGAGCAAGCUGUGAAAAAAGGAGGAUAAAACCGGCCCGGGCUCGGGCUGCGGCAGUGUGGAGACCUGUCGCAACGCAGCGCGUCCCAUAGCGGACGCCUGUGAGCACACAGCAAGCGGAGGCUCUGUGUGCGGAGCCAGGAAAACAUGGCA
rnacentral:ncRNA from 1 species